rnacentral:rRNA from 1 species
GAUGAACGCUGGCGGCGUGCCUAAUACAUGCAAGUCGAGCGAACAGAUGAGGAGCUUGCUCCUCUGACGUUAGCGGCGGACGGGUGAGUAACACGUGGAUAACCUACCUAUAAGACUGGGAUAACUUCGGGAAACCGGAGCUAAUACCGGAUAAUAUAUUUAACCGCAUGGUUCAAUAGUGAAAGACGGUUUUGCUGUCACUUAUAGAUGGAUCCGCGCCGCAUUAGCUAGUGGGUAAGGUAACGGCUUACCAAGGCAACGAUGCGUAGCCGACCUGAGAGGGUGACAGGCCACACUGGAACUGAGACACGGUCCAGACUCCUCCGGGAGGCAGCAGUAGGGAAUCUUCCGCAAUGGGCGAAAGCUUGACGGAGCAACGCCGCGUGAGUGAUGAAGGUCUUCGGAUCGUAAAACUCUGUUAUUAGGGAAGAACAAAUGUGUAAGUAACUAUGCACGUCUUGACGGUACCUAAUCAGAAAGCCACGGCUAACUACGUG